rnacentral:rRNA from 1 species
CCUACGGGGGGCAGCAGUGAGGAAUAUUGGUCAAUGGACGAGAGUCUGAACCAGCCAAGUAGCGUGAAGGAUGACUGCCCUAUGGGUUGUAAACUUCUUUUAUAAAGGAAUAAAACGAGGCACGUGUGCCUUUUUGCAUGUACUUUAUGAAUAAGGAUCGGCUAACUCCGUGCCAGCAGCCGCGGUAAUACGGAGGAUCCGAGCGUUAUCCGGAUUUAUUGGGUUUAAAGGGAGCGUAGAUGGGUUGUUAAGUCAGUUGUGAAAGUUUGCGGCUCAACCGUAAAAUUGCAAUUGAUACUGGCAGUCGUGAGUACAGUUGAGGUAGGCGGAAUGCGUGGUGUAGCGGUGAAAUGCUUAGAUAUCACGAAGAACCCCGAUUGCGAAGGCAGCUUACUAAACUGUGACUGACAUUGAUGCUCGAAAGUGUGGGUAUCAAACAGGAUUAGAUACCCGUGUAGUC